rnacentral:rRNA from 1 species
UGUGGAAUUUUGGACAAUGGGCGCAAGCCUGAUCCAGCCAUACCGCGUGAGUGAAGAAGGCCUUCGGGUUGUAAAGCUCUUUCAGACGGAAAGAAACGGUCGCGGCUAAUACCCGCGACUAAUGACGGUACCUGAAGAAUAAGCACCGGCUAACUACGUGCCAGCAGCCGCGGUAAUACGUAGGGUGCAAGCGUUAAUCGGAAUUACUGGGCGUAAAGCGUGCGCAGGCGGUUGUGUAAGUCAGAUGUGAAAUCCCCGGGCUCAACCUGGGAAUUGCAUUUGAGACUGCACGGCUAGAGUGUGUCAGAGGGGGGUAGAAUUCCACGUGUAGCAGUGAAAUGCGUAGAUAUGUGGAGGAAUACCGAUGGCGAAGGCAGCCCCCUGGGAUAACACUGACGCUCAUGCACGAAAGCGUGGGGAGCAAACAGGAUUAGAUACCCUAGUAUUCCCUGAGCGGGCUGGCAAGGCGCAU